AAUAGUUUUAUGCCACAUCAAUAUUCUUAUCUUGAAUUUCAGGAUUUUAUCCUAAAAAAAUCAAAUCCAAAUUAAAAUCCUGAAAUUCAGGAUAAAAUCCUAAAAUUCAGGAUAAGAAUACUGAUGUGGCAUAAAACUAUU
rnacentral:pre_miRNA from 1 species